rnacentral:tRNA from 1 species
GCCUGGGUAGCUCAGCGGUUGAGUGUCUGGUUUUGGCUCAGGGCAUGAUCCUGGAGUCCCGGGAUUGAAUCCUGAUUCAGGCU